rnacentral:miRNA from 1 species
GUGUAUACUGGGGGGUGGCUGCUGUGUCACUCAGAGCUGACUCAGAGCCACCUCCUCACAG